GAGAAUCUGCCUUGGGGUCGGGGACAACCACUGGAAACGGUGGCUAAUACCGGAUAAGCCUUUGGGUAAAAAAUUUAUUGCCCCAAGAGGAGCUCGCGUCUGAUUAGCUAGUUGGUGAGGUAAAAGCUCACCAAGGCAGCGAUCAGUAGCUGGUCUGAGAGGACGAUCAGCCACACUGGGACUGAGACACGGCCCAGACUCCUACGGGAGGCAGCAGUGGGGAAUUUUCCGCAAUGGGCGAAAGCCUGACGGAGCAAGACCGCGUGAGGGAGGAAGGCUCUUGGGUUGUAAACCUCUUUUCUCAGGGAAGAAGCUCUGACGGUACCUGAGGAAUCAGCCUCGGCUAACUCCGUGCCAGCAGCCGCGGUAAUACGGAGGAGGCAAGCGUUAUCCGGAAUUAUUGGGCGUAAAGCGUCCGCAGGUGGCGAUUCAAGUCUGCUGUCAAAGCACGGGGCUUAACUCCGUUAAGGCAGUGGAAACUGAAUAGCUAGAGUGCCGUAGGGGUAGAGGGAAUUCCCGGUGUAGCGGUGAAAUGCGUAGAGAUCGGGAAGAACAUCGGUGGCGAAAGCGCUCUACUGGACGGCAACUGACACUCAGGGACGAAAGCUAGGGGAGCGAAUGGGAUUAGGUACCCCAGUAGUCCUAGCUGUAAACGAUGGAUACUAGGUGUAGCUUGUAUCGACCCGAGCUGUGCCGAAGCUAACGCGUUAAGUAUCCCGCCUGGGGAGUACGCAGUCAAGUGUGAAUCUCAAAGGAAUUGACGGGGGUCCGCACAAGCGGUGGAGUAUGUGGUUUAAUUCGAUGCAACGCGAAGAUCCUUACCAGGGCUUGACAUGUCCGAGAAUCCCGGUGAAAGCUGGGAGUGCCUUCGGGAGCCGGAUCACAGGUGGUGCAUGGCUGUCGUCAGCUGUUGUCGUGAGAUGUUGGGUUAAGUCCCGCAACGAUGCGCAACCCUCGUCUUUAGUUGCCAGCAUUAAGUUGGGCACUCUAGAGAGACCGCCGGUGACAAACCGGAGGAAGGUGGGGAUGACGUCAAGUCAGGCAUGCUCCUUACGCUCUGGGGGACACACGUACUACAAUGGUCGGGACAGAGGGCAGCGAACCUGCGAAGGCAAGCUAAUCCCAGCAAACUCAGGCCUCAGUUCAGAU
rnacentral:rRNA from 1 species